rnacentral:piRNA from 1 species
UACAUUUCAGACUUACUAUGGACAAAGUGU